CCUACGGGAGGCUGCAGUGGGGAAUAUUGGACAAUGGGGGGAACCCUGAUCCAGCCAUGCCGCCUGUGUGAAGAAGGCCCUCGGGUUGUAAAGCACUUUCAGUGAGGAAGAACGCCUGGUGGUUAAUACCCAUCAGGAAAGACAUCACUCACAGAAGAAGCACCGGCUAACUCCGUGCCAGCAGCCGCGGUAAUACGGAGGGUGCGAGCGUUAAUCGGAAUUACUGGGCGUAAAGCGCGCGUAGGUGGCUUGAUAAGCCGGUUGUGAAAGCCCCGGGCUCAACCUGGGAACGGCAUCCGGAACUGUCAAGCUAGAGUGCAGGAGAGGAAGGUAGAAUUCCCGGUGUAGCGGUGAAAUGCGUAGAGAUCGGGAGGAAUACCAGUGGCGAAGGCGGCCUUCUGGACUGACACUGACACUGAGGUGCGAAAGCGUGGGUAGCAAACAGGAUUAGAUACCCGGGUAGUC
rnacentral:rRNA from 1 species